rnacentral:rRNA from 1 species
UACGUAGGGGGCAAGCGUUGUCCGGAUUUACUGGGCGUAAAGAGCGCGCAGGCGGUCGUUCAAGUCGCGUGUGAAAGCCCCCCGGCUCAACUGGGGAGGGUCACGCGAUACUGAUCGACUCGAAGGCAGGAGAGGGAAGUGGAAUUCCCGGUGUAGUGGUGAAAUGCGUAGAUAUCGGGAGGAACACCAGUGGCGAAGGCGACUUCCUGGCCUGUUCUUGACGCUGAGGCGCGAAAGCUAGGGGAGCAAACGGG